rnacentral:rRNA from 1 species
UACGAAGGGUGCAAGCGUUAAUCGGAAUUACUGGGCGUAAAGGGUGCGUAGGCGGUUCGUUAAGUCUGUCGUGAAAUCCCCAGGCUCAACCUGGGAAUGGCGAUGGAUACUGGCGAGCUAGAGUGUGUCAGAGGAUGGUGGAAUUCCCGGUGUAGCGGUGAAAUGCGUAGAGAUCGGGAGGAACAUCAGUGGCGAAGGCGGCCAUCUGGGACAACACUGACGCUGAAGCACGAAAGCGUGGGGAGCAAACAGG